AAGCAGUAGCAAAAGUGGCGGCUCUAAGCAGCAGUAUUCGUAGAAACAAUUAUUAGCAAUCAAUUUGUAAUUUUUAUGCCAAAUAAAUAUUCUAAAAUUCAUUAGGUUGCAAAAUGUUUGAAUGUGUGAAUAAACGUUAAAACGAUCAAAAGAAAAAGUAGUGGUUCCAGCAAAUAUUGUAAUUCAAUUCGUUUUAUUUCCCAAAAGGCAGACCAACAAAAGAAAACUAGGAAAAAAGAACAAAGUAUGGCAAAAGCAAAGUAAACGUGUAUGCAGAAGCAGUGGCUAGUGAGCACUUUUCUAUGUACCAUAAGUGCGAGCGGGACGAUGCAUUAAUGCCCCAACUCACUCUGAUCUAUAAAGCAGCAAAUGCAUUUGAGUUUUACCUACUUUGGGGAGUGUAUACAUAAUAUAUUGGAGGCUGGUACUUCCGUCGCUAUCGCAACAUUAAAACAGUGCCGUCUGGUGAACCUUGAAUAAAUGUAAAAAAAAAACAAUGCAAAUACAAGUUAUAAAAUAGUGGACAAAAUAUUAAGAAGGCAGCAGCAUAUAAACGACCGAAACAGCCAGCUUUCGAUCUUGGCCAUCUGUCUGGAUACUCCUGGGAGCACUGAACAAAAAAUAUUUGGGAUGUUAAUUUAUGCAAAAUACGAUGGCAGGCACAGGCAUAUGUAUGUAUUUACAUAUAAACCACUGUGAGCCAGGCACACGCAACCGUAUUGAUUUCUGCGACGCGUAAAAAAUUGCACACAGUGUACCUACCAGCACUCUGAUUUUACAUAUUGCUACCGUUCGCUGCAAGCCCCCACAAGUCACUCUGA